rnacentral:rRNA from 1 species
GACGAGCGCUGGCGGCGUGCCUAAUACAUGCAAGUAGAACGCUGAAGCUUGGUGCUUGCACCGAGCGGAUGAGUUGCGAACGGGUGAGUAACGCGUAGGUAACCUGCCUGGUAGCGGGGGAUAACUAUUGGAAGCGAUAGCUAAUACCGCAUAAGAGUAGAUGUUGCAUGACAUUUGCUUAAAAGGUGCAAUUGCAUCACUACCAGAUGGACCUGCGUUGUAUUAGCUAGUUGGUGAGGUAACGGCUCACCAAGGCAACGAUACAUAGCCGACCUGAGAGGGUGAUCGGCCACACUGGGACUGAGACACGGCCCAGACUCCUACGGGAGGCAGCAGUAGGGAAUCUUCGGCAAUGGACGGAAGUCUGACCGAGCAACGCCGCGUGAGUGAAGAAGGUUUUCGGAUCGUAAAGCUCUGUUGUAAGAGAAGAACGAGUGUGAGAGUGGAAAGUUCACACUGUGACGGUAUCUUACCAGAAAGGGACGGCUAACUACGUG